AGGAAAUCGAUCAAAGGCCUUCCAUUUCUGAUUACACCACCCCUAUUGAUACCUUCUGGUAUGCCCGCCAGGUCCUAGUGCCCAACCACUUGUCACCAGGGCUUGAUGUGCGACACAUGCCAGGGCAGGGUUUGAAGUUUGAUUGUUAUCCUCGAGCAGCAGUCAGGUCAGCCAUGCUAGACUCUAGCCGUAUGCUGAUAUCUCAUCACUUCACAUCACAGAAGCAACCGAAACAAGGCUCUUCUCCCUGAAGGAGAUCAUACUAGCUGUGCAGCCAGACGGUGCCUCUUCAGGGGCUCUCCUUCACCAGAAUCCCCCUCCACCCUGAGAGCCCUGAACAGGUUCCUCAUCCCUGGCCAACAAGGGUUCUUCAGCAAGGACAGUCUUGAGUAAUCACGGAGACCUACUCUGAUUGUGGAGCAUCUUGCGAGCCCACCAUUUGUUCUCGGAGAGCUUUCCAGAGAGGAGAAGAAGAAGGACGAAGAAGAAGAAGAGGAAGGAGAGACUGCUUAAUGCAAUCCUCCUCACCCUUGUCUUCAUCAUCCUCAUCCUCAUCCUCAUCAUCACCAUCAUUACCCAUCAAUUUUCUUCCCCAGAGGAAUAAUCUCUCUUCAUCCUCAGUGACCUAAUUAUCUUUAUCCUAGGAGUCUCCACAGCAGAGGGGCAAAUAGAUAUGUGGGGUUAUCAGUCUGCCCCGGCCCCCCUAUAAUGUGCUUCUUCCUCGUAGUGGUGUUAGCCAGUCUCCUUUUUGUCUUCAUCUUGUCUUCAUCAUGUCAGGGGAUCCAAAUGGUGUUGGACUCUUAGUCCAUCUCAUUGACUUUAAUGAUAUUGGCAGUGCGCUGGGCUGUAGAGGGUUGACUUGAGGAGAACAGAGGUGAACUUCCAGCCAAUGUCCACUGGAUUUCCACCUCAAUUUGCCACUAGAAAGUGAUCGUUAAGGUUACUUGGAGAGGCUUGUUAAAAUAAUAAGGGAUUUGAUUUAUUAUAAAUAUAUAUAGGAUAUACCGAAAUCGUCAUUUUGCAACACAGAUUACAUAUGUAUUAUUCAAUAUUAAUGCGAAGGAAAUGUACCUACAUUUUUCCCCUUAGAGGGCUACUCCGCCUCAAUGAUUAACGUUAUUGUGAAGCCAUAAACAGUAUUUUCUUUUCGUUUUUCAUUCACCAUUUAGGCCCAAGUUUUCAUUUUUCUAUCUGCAUAUUAACAAGGUACAUUCAUCUUACCUGCCCCCAGGGGUGCAUUCUGGGAAAAAUAAUUCAAAGUAGCUCAUGUUGUACCAUAAUAAGAUAGUCUCCUCCGUGCAAGUGUUGUUGAUCUCAAAGGUAACGCUGAAUUCAAGUCAGAUUGCACUGUAUUAAAAAAUAUUAUCAAAGCGUGCAAUGCCAUCUAUCGAAAGGUUGAUCAAUUAUGAAAGACAGAAAUAAAGACUAAUCAAGCAUAACAUGAAUUAAUAACUUGUAUGGGAAAGCUUCUGAGACAAAGUAAAUCCACAGUGAAACGCUGGCUCAUAGUAAAUACUGCUCUAAUCCUCCUUCAAUCUUGAAUACAUCGUUAAUUCACUCAACUAAUUAGAUUACACAUUUAAGUGGAGGCAAG
ensembl:lncRNA